UCUGUAGGUGGCCCGCUAAGUCACACGUGAAAUCCCUCAGCUUAACUGGGGAACUGCGUGUGAGACUGGCAGGCUUGAGUGCAGGAGAGGAACGCGGAAUUCCAGGUCUAGCGGUGAAAUGCGUAGAUAUCUGGAGGAACACCGGUGGCGAAGGCGGCGUUCUGGACUGUAUCUGACACUGAUAGACGAAAGCCAGGGGAGCAAACG
rnacentral:rRNA from 1 species